rnacentral:tRNA from 1 species
UGCGUCUUGGCCGAGUGGUCUAGGCGCCAGAUUUAGGCUUGGUCCGAAAGGCGUGGGUUCAAAUCCCACAUGUGUCA